UUCAAGGAAGCUUUUAGGAAGUGAAACAUUCAAAGAAGCAUGUAAUGAAAGUCAUUGGAUUACAAAAGUUAAAAACAAAAGUAAACUGAGUUAUAAAUCCGCUAGAGGCACACCUUUCUUAGGUGAAAUUGUCAAAUACAGAAAAGAAAAAAAGAAUGUUCCUCUCUUGCUGUCACGCCUUAACUGGUCCUGCACAUCAACCAAAUCCUUUUCAGACGAAGGAAGCCUUUGGAACAUGUUUUGGUUUGAUACUCUUUAAGGUUAGAUAGAUCAACUAUCUUCAUUCAAAGGGUUCAAGAGAAAGUUGUUUACCAGUUCUCUUUGAAGUUUGUUGUUAAGUUGAAUGGCAGACUGUUUUUCCUCGGUUAGCUUUGUGAUGAGAGCCCUUGCCUGCAAUCACACAAAACUCAGCUCUUACUAGAUAACAUUGUAGAACAACUUGACUUUCCUAGUACCUGGUGUCAAGUUAGAGCUAGUGGAUUGAAUGCAGAUUAAAAAUAUGCAGAAAACAUCAACAAAGUAAUAAAUAAGUAAUGGGCAGCUUAAUGAUUUGGCUGGAUUCUAAAAGUGAAAUGAACCUUUUAAGUAAUCAAGAAAAAAAAAUUAAAGAUUCUCAACCUAAUACAUCAACUGUUAAAGAUAACUUUCCAAAAAAAGUAGUUCCCAAGUUCUAACUAAUGGCCAUUUUUAACAGAGCAAAGACAAGAACACUAACAUUGAUGGUUGAAAAGAGCUUAUAAGAAUUGUAAAAAAAUACCUCAGGUGUGUUUUCUUGAGGUUCAACCUUGUCCGCGCUAGAUCUCUGAAACUAAAACCAAACACACAUGAGAAUCCAUCUACACUAAACUAAAAGAAGAAAUGUUAUAUCUUAGCACUGAAAAAGAUGUACUACUGACAGAAAAUUCAGAAGCCUGUCCUCCGUUAUCAGAAACAGAAGCCCUUGGUGAAGAACCCUCUUCAGAACCUUCGUGAACAGGUGAUGGUGGUUGCGGUGGAGCAACAUAAGUAACUCUCAGCUUAGUCUCCUCAACCAGAUACCCAGCCUCUUUGCUAAACUGCAAAUUUUCAUUAUAGAUUAAUCAAUUAUCCUUACAAAAAAUAAAUUAAAAAAAGGGAAAUGAAGUAGUAGUACCAUCUCAGGAGUAACAUCCUUGGCCGUGACACCAGGACUAGCAGUUACACCCUGGAGCAGAAACUUGUCCUUGCACUGCAUAUCCGAAGGAGCUUCCUUUUGAGCUUGCAUUGUCACUACACAAAACACCAAAACAAAAGAAUAAAUAUAUCGAAAGGAGCUUUAUUCUUCUUCACGAGAGAGAGAACAACGAACCAAGAACUUCACAAGUGGACCGUGGAAGAACAACUCCAGUGUUAGGCCUAACGCAAUACUUCUUCGGAUUCGUUGUCUUAACCUUUAAAAAAAAAACGAGAAGCGAAACACGAGAUCAAAAACAACACAAACCACAAUCUGGAAAUGUUAGUAAUAUAAUAUAAUCACACCUUAAAGGCGACAUGAUUGUCGGUCUUGUUGGUCAAGUACAGAGAGCAUGAGAUCUGCUUCCUCAAUUCAACUACAUCAUAGAAGAACAAGAUCACGAUUAAUCAUCAUUAACACCGUAACUCAGAGAGGAAAGAUCUAGAUCUGGUCCCGAUAAGAAGAGAGACAUGUCCGAAAAGAAGCUUACAUGGGAAUUGAAGGUCGAGAGGCUCGACGGAGAGAAGCUCGCUGUUACUCAUCCCGAUCAAGAUCGCCGGAGAUUCUUCCCGUGACCGGUUCACAGAGAGAGAGAGAGAGACCAGUCCGUCGAUCAAGAGAGAGAGAGAGAGGGACAUCGCUAUUUGUCUUGUUCUGUCUCAAGGGUAUUAUAGUCUUUUCAACGAUGUUAUUUUUAAAUAAGGAGCGUUUGUCACGUGGCUCUCACGUGUCAAAGCCAGUCGCAUCUUCGGUACGUUUGCUGUUAUGUUCGUUUUUCUUUUUCCUUCCCGCUUCUUCUCCCUAAACAGAAGGGAUGGUCCAAAGAGCUUAGAGCAUCUCUAACCCCACUCCAUAUUUUACUCUAAAAUGGAAAAAAUGAAGUGAGAAAUGGAGUGAUAAUCCUUUUAUUUUUUGUUCAUUACUCCAUUUCCCACUCUAUUUUCUCAAUUUUGAAGUAAAAUAUGGAGUGGAGUUGGAAAUGCCCUUAGUAAUAAUUGAACUACGGCAAUGAAAUAACUAUCUAUCUUUACUUAGAAGCAAUAGAUUCUGCUUGAUGCAUACAGAUGAAUAUAAAAAAUAUGUUUUUGCUAUUAUCACCAACAAUAAAAACUAUAUAAUAAAAUAGUUACAUAUCCUUUUGGAAGAAACAUAACUAUCUAUCUUUACUUAGAAGUAACAGAUGAUUCUGGUUGCUGAUUAGUUGCUGUUGUUCGAGAUGUAUACCCAGCAAACCAAGCAACUCUCAUGAGCUGCAUCCCCAAUAUCAACACCCACCAAGACACAAGCCCACGUAUCAUAUGAACCACCCAAACCGGCGCGUUCACCUCCGCGCUUAGCUUCAACCCUCUCAUCAGCUGCAAAACCCGGUACGCCUCGUAGACAACCGGCGUCACUAGCCACACCGGUGACUGCCAACUCCACGUGAGGAUCUCCGUCAACGUCUGCACCGCGAGGAGGAUGAAGUACGGCAAGAGGAGAACAGCUGAGGAGAUAAAAGGAAGCUCCGGUUGAAGCGAACCGAGUAAACCGGUUUGGGAUCCGAAGAGGAGUAGCGUUGGGACGAGAAACCCGGUUAAGAGCGCGAAAACAUUCCAGAACUUGUAGCUAAACGGUGGUUUGCUCUUGCAGGACAGUGACGGAUCCUUAGGACGGGCGCAAGAGUCAGCCAUUAGCAAGAAAAGGGUUGCUCCGAGGUUGAAAAUGCAGUCCAAACCGAUCAAUGAAAGCACGCUAACCACGUUGGAACCGACGAAAACCGAUGAUAAUGGUAGCCACAGUGUAGGUGCCAUGCCGCUUGUGAGUAGAACAGAUGGACCUAAAAGCCAUAUCGGCCAUUUAAAAACCUGAGCUUGCUGGUGAGAGUUAGUAGUAGUCUGCUCCUCCUCUGCAGAUUCUGAUACAAUAGAAUCGAACACAUUUGAGGUUUUCUCUAAUACUAUGUUACCAGCUUCUUGUGCAGAGGAACGGAUGAAAGGAGAUGGUUCCCACUGAGACAUCUUUGUGCAUAAGACACGGAGAUGAUGAGAAGAGCCGGUCUUUAGGUUGUGUAUCAUCUUGGGGUUCUUGAGACCUACGUUGCACGGAAGCUUCAUCGGACGUCCGAUUCCCGCUUCGGAACCGGAAUCGGAAUCGGAAUCUUGUGGAAGCUUACGGAAUCUCGCUUCCAAAACGCUUCUAAAAUAUUCUCUUUAAAAACACAUUGGAAGCUUACGAUUCCGUUUUGGAACCACGCUUCCAUUUAAAAAAAAACAUAAUGUCUUAUAUCAAUAAGAAUAUAAAAUUAUAGUUUUUAAUUUAUAUAUAGUCCAAAUUUUAAUAGUAUUGAAUGGAGAGAAUAGAAAUAUACAAAUAUUAAAACUAAUACUAUAAAUUAUCUUUAUGCAUUGAGGUUUUUAUUAAAGAUAAAUCAUAUAUUCAAAUAUAUUAUGUCAAUUAAUUAUAAAGAAUUACAAAAAUAUAAUAUUAUUUAUUUAAUUUAAUUUAUGUGUAUUUUCACAGUUUAAAUAUGAAGUCAUUUCAAAAUUAUUAUAAAUGAAUAAAUGCUUUAUUUUAAAUUUAAAUCAUAUAAUUUUUAGUUUUAGAUUUUUUAAAAUAAUCUUACAUAUGUAUAUAUAUUCCAAUUUUUAAUUUGUAGUCUUACAUAUAUAUAUAUAUAUAUAUGGAUAUGCUUCCAACACGUAUCCGCUUCCUAAUUUUUUAAAAAAUCUCGCUUCUGCGCUUCCAUACGUUUCCGCUUCCACGUACCCGCUUCCGUUUCCAUGUAACAUAGGUUCUGACUGGAAAAUGAGUUAAACAAAGAAAAGUCUGUUUCUUUUUU
rnacentral:lncRNA from 1 species